UACGGAGGGUGCAAGCGUUAUCCGGAAUCACUGGGUUUAAAGGGUGCGUAGGCGGUUUGAUAAGUCAGAGGUGAAAGCUAGCAGCUUAACUGUUAAAUUGCCUUUGAUACUGUCAGACUUGAAUCAAGUUGAGGUAGGCGGAAUGUGACAUGUAGCGGUGAAAUGCAUAGAUAUGUCAUAGAACACCAAUUGCGUAGGCAGCUUGCUGGGCUUGAAUUGACGCUGAGGCACGAAAGCGUGGGGAUCAAAC
rnacentral:rRNA from 1 species